CGGUAAUUCCAGCUCCAAUAGCGUAUACUAAAGUUGUUGCAGUUAAAAAGCUCGUAGUUGGAUUUCUGCGGGGACGGAGCGGCCGGACGCAACUUGCGUCUCGAGCUAGCGCUUUCCCCGCAUCCUGCCGCGAACCGUGCUACCAUUAGCUUGGUGGCGCUGGGGAUCGGCUCGAUUACUUUGAGAAAAAUAGAGUGUUCAAAGCAGGCCACACGCCUUGAAUAAGUUAGCAUGGAAUAAUGACUAGGGACUUCGGUUCUAUUUUGUUGGUGUUCGGGACUGAAGUAAUGAUUGAUAGGGACAGUUGGGGCGGUCUGUAUUCCAAAGCGAGAGGUGAAAUUCUUAGACCUUCGGAAGACAAACAGCUGCGAAAGCGUUCCGCAAGGAUGUUCCCUUUGAUCAAGAACGAAAGUUGGGGGAUCGAAGACGAUCAGAUACCGUCGUAGUCUCAACUAUAAACUAUACCAGCUAGGGAUCGGUCAACGUUUAAUCAUUCGACUUGAUCGGCACCUUAUGAGAAAUCAAAGCAUCUGGGUUCCGGGGGGAGUAUGGUCGCAAGGCUGAAACUUAAAGGAAUUGACGGAAGGGCACCACCAGCCGUGGAGCCUGUGGCUUAAUUUGACUCAACACGGGAAAACUUACCAGGUCCAGACAUAGUAAGGAUUGACAGAUUGAUAGCUCUUUCUUGAUUCUGUGGGUGGUGGUGCAUGGCCGUUCUUAGUUGGUGGAGUGAUUUGUCUGGUUAAUUCCGUUAACGAACGAGACCCCAGCCUGCUAAAUAGCGCGGCUGAGCUUUGCUCGGUGCGAGCUUCUUAGAGGGACUAUGAUGCGCGAUAGCACAUGGAAGUUUGGGGCAAUAACAGGUCUGUGAUGCCCUUAGAUGUUCUGGGCCGCACACGGGCUACACUGGCGCCUGCAACGAGCAUAUCAGCUGGCCCGAGAGGGUCUUGGCUAAUCUUUUGAACCGGCGCCGUGCUUGGGAUUGACCAUUGCAAUUGUUGGUCAUGCAACGAGGAAUGCCUUGUAAACGCGAGUCAUCAGCUCGCAUUGAAUACGUCCCUGCCCUUUGUACACACCGCCCGUCGCUCCUACGAUGAAUGUUCCGAUGAAAUUUUCGGAGAGCGCCAGAGAACGGGGCUCUGCCUUGCAGAUCUGGAGGCUCAAAGUCACUUAAAUCUGAACAUUUCGAGGAAGGAGAAGUCGUAACAAGGUAGCCG
rnacentral:rRNA from 1 species